rnacentral:rRNA from 1 species
UAAAAUUUGAUUUUGGUUUUAUAAAAACCGAAGCUUUUGUAUAAAACAUUAAACAAUUAAAUAAAAAAGUUUUAGCAGGUUUUUUAACAAAACUAAACCUUCAUGUAGAUGUGCGUUUUUGUUUAAUUUAAUAAAGAACAAGUAUAAAAGUUUGUCAGGUAGAAAAAAAAGUGCCAGCAUCUGCGGUUAUACUUGUUAAUGUCCUAAUUGUGUUUUUAUUUAAGAAGAAAAACCAUAUAAAUUAUAAUUUCUCAAUAUUGUUGUUUUUAUAUACAAUUGGGGUUAAAUUUAUUAUUUUAGUACCGUUAAAAUUUAUAAUAGGGGAAAGCUUACAAAUUAAACCUGAAUUUGGUACUCAGCUAUAAAUAAAUGCUUAUAUUUUAAUUAUUUUUCUUUAAAAAAUAAAAAGAUUUGGCAGUAAGUAAAAAUUUCUGGGGAGUGUGUGGUUUUAAGGAAGUUACACCUAAUAAUUAAAACUGGCAAUUUAUUAGUGUACGGUUGUCUAAACUAAGGAUUUGUCUUAAGAUAAAAACUCCUAAAUACAAAUCGUUGUGCUGUUUUUCUGGUUAUUACUCAUUCACUACUUUAAAGACAGAUUUCAUUUAACUCAAAUUUAGUUUUUUUGUUUUAGGACUCGAAAGUAAAAAUUUUCUAGUUUGAAAUUUUGAAAUUAAAAUUUUUUAUGUACACACCGCCCGUCAAUUUUUUUUGAAAAAUAAGUCGUAACAUGGUAAGUCUAACUGAAGUUGGACUUUGUUAUUU